CAAAGGAGGAAAGAAGCUAACACAGAAAGGAAAAGAUUCCAUAGGGACCAAACUUGGUGGAAAACCAGGCGGUAAGCCAGGUGGUAAGAAGCCCUUCAAACCGUACAACAACACAGAGAGGAAAGGCAGGCCGGGGAAAGGGCCACAGAAGAGGAAAAUGCCGUUUAAAGGGAAAAAUAAAGAAGAGGGUGGAGGUCCGGAGGCCAAGAGGGUGAAGAAAGGUGAGUUUAAGCCGAAGACGAAGGAGCUGACGGAGGAGGAGCUGAAGAAGAACAGGCAGCAGAGGAAGAAGGAUCUGAAGAAGAGCAUACAGCAGGCGGAGAGUAAGGACAUGUUCCAGAUCAUCUGUCAGUGCAAACAAGUGUGGGGGGACCUCAGGAGGUACACACGCACGCAUGCACGCACGCACACACACACACCCACAGGCAGAAAUUGAGAGUUGAGCCCCUUAACUCUGACCUUCUAUUUUCACGUCUUCAGGUUGAACUGAAACGCUCCACUACAGAUCACAUACAGUAUGUACAGUACAGCUAGCCCCCCAUACAUGCAAACUCAUUAAAGGAAUAACUUA